CAUGCGCUCGACAGAGACGACGGGAUCGGUCGCCGCGCGAGAGAGAAGGGGGUCCGUCGCCGAGGAACGCCUCGCUUGGGUGCACGGUGAUGGCAGGCCUCGAGUAGUCGAGCGGCCAUGCGUCUCUUCCCCGCGACCUCUGCCGCGGCGGCGACCAAGACCCCCGCAAGGCCCGCGUCCUCGGCCGCGGCAGCGGCGACGGCCAAGUUCGUCUCCCGCGCGCGGUUCCCGCACGCCUCCGAGAACUCCGAACCCAACAUCGUCGCCUCCCCUCCCUCGACGACGCGCGGGUGAAUUGUACAAGAUGGUAGAUUAGUUCGAGCAGGGACGACGAUUGUGGCUUUGUGCGAUACGGAUGCAGAGAUUAGCUAUCACUCACACAUCGACAUACUGGUAGCAACAAUAUUAGCUUAGCGAACAACCAUGGAUUGGCACCACAUUGGCUGGCACGUGAGAGCAAGGCAAGCAAGUAAAAGGUGUUUUGCAUGUCUGUGAAACAAGCAAGGAGAAGCAAAGUUUGUAACUAUACAUCCAGAUCGAGCCAGGAGGCCAGGAGCAGAGGGAAGACAGAUGAGGGUCGAUCCAGCCGCCACGGGCGAUGCGGCCGAUGAGGGGAUCGGUGGGGCGAUGCGGGCAACAAGGGGAUGGGUCGAUCCAGCCGACAUGGGCGAUUUGUCUGCCAGGGAGAAAGGAGAAGAGGCAAUCAUGCUUCAGUCUCUGUUCAGACAUUCAUAGCAGGUGAUGGGCCCGGUGAUGAUGGCGUUCUUCUGCAUGAACGUGAACCUGGUGUUCUUGAUGCGGAUGGUGAAACAGGCAACAACCGCAUAACCAACAACACGAGCAAGUGAACCAGAGGAUCCUAUUGGGGACGCUACAAGACCUACCAUCAUAUUACAAUCUUAGCUUCAUUGUCGUACGUACUACAUGUUACAUAUGACUUCACAUAUCACCUACACAAGCAAUGAUAAUAUGCGUUCCAAACAGAAUAUGUGUGAAUAACAUGAACAGUAGUAGAUAUGUGACUGCUGUGUCCAAAGCACCGCCCUUUUUUUUUAGUGAGUCCCUCACAAGCCUCCUUAGAUACUCUCUGUUCCUGUGGCUAUGUCGAUUUCUUACUACUAUCAUUAAAUAAAAGUUAUAACUAGAAUUGCCUAAGCACAACUAUGUUUUAGUUAUGGUUUGUGCAUCUUGGCCAUGUUCUGAACUUUCUAGCGAUGUUAUAUACCCUCGACACCUAAUGUUAUAUACUUUGAACAAUACGAAACCCAAGCUUUCAUCUGUAGUUUGUGUACUUAAUAUCGAUUAUUGUAGUUCUCACCAUAUCAGUAGUUGAAUCUUCAUUCUUUUUUUGUGUCAAAACUGCUUCGGUACUUCUUCACUUUGUACGCAAUGGGGAAAUGGUUUCUUUGUUCAUUUAUGAGAAAUGAUAAUUUAGAUUGUGGAAAUGUUUUCAGUAAAUCCGAAACAGCCAUUUAAUGUCAUUCUCUGUAUUGUCAUUUGUGCCAUUGGAGACUUGAAAAUAAAUGAAUAUAUUUAUCCUCUCUUUUCUUUCAGAAGUUGUAUGUUUAGAACAUGUGGUGAAUGGAGGUUUGCAUUCAUGGAGUUAUGUGAUUUAUUGUAGAGUAGCCUUUAUAGACUGUUGUCAAUUUUUUGAAUGAUAAUGACAUUUUCAAGCUUAGUCAGCUGCAUUACGCAAGGAGCACUUCAGCCUUGCGGAUACAGGACUAGAGAUGCUACUGUUUUUCUGCUACAACUAUGCCGUGUAGGUAAGAUGCACAUUUGUUUGUGCUUUUACUGGGAAAAAAAAUAUUCGGUGUUGUUGAUGUAUUGCAUAGUUCUAACUAUCUAUGAGUGUUUUUUGUCCCCUGUCUCUUUAAACCAAUGUCAUCUUUUAAUCUUUGUCAGCUAUAUUUGUAUGCAUCAAGUUUCAGUUAUUCUUGAUUAACUGCUAUCUUCUUUGUUGGUAAAAUCUCUUGCAUUUUCACAACACAGGUAUAGCCAUGAUCUGUGGAGGAACCGUGGAACUAGGAUAAUCUUUUGGCAUCACGCUAGCAUUCCCUGUUGGUCUACAUACUAUUAUUCUGAUACCUCUCUAAUGCCUCUCUUGUUAUGAUUACUCUUGGGGAAAGAUCAAUUUGUCCUGAUGCUUAUGUUCUCACUUGGGCAAAACUUGAACUAUAUGUCUUCUGCUAAAUGGACAAGACAACGCCUGCCAUUAAGGUUUGUGCUAAGGUAAAUGUGCAAUGCAAACAAAUGAGGCCCACAACCAUUCUGCACUCUCUCAUUUUAAAAUAAACAGAAAUUUUAUGUUUUACAAAAAAAUUCUAACACUA